GACGAACCGAGCGAACGUUGUUCGGAAUUACUGGGCGUAAAGGGCUCGUAGGUGGCCAACUAAGUCAGACGUGAAAUCCCUCAGCUUAACUGGGGAACUGCGUCUGAUACUGGAUGGCUUGAGUUUGGGAGAGGGAUGCGGAAUUCCAGGUGUAGCGGUGAAAUGCGUAGAUAUCUGGAGGAACACCGGUGGCGAAGGCGGCAUCCUGGACCAACACUGACACUGAGGAGCGAAAGCCAGGGGAGCAAACGGG
rnacentral:rRNA from 1 species